UACGGAGGGUGCGAGCGUUAAUCGGAAUUACUGGGCGUAAAGGGUGCGUAGGUGGUUGUAUAAGUUAUCUGUGAAAUACCUGGGCUCAACCUGGGAGUGUCAGAUGAUACUGUACGACUCGAGUACGGGAGAGGGUAGUGGAAUUUCCGGUGUAGCGGUGAAAUGCGUAGAGAUCGGAAGGAACACCGGUGGCGAAGGCGGCUACCUGGCCUGCUACUGACACUGAGGCACGAAAGCGUGGGGAGCAAACAGG
rnacentral:rRNA from 1 species